rnacentral:rRNA from 1 species
AUUGAACGCUAGCGGGAUGCCUUACACAUGCAAGUCGAACGGAGUGGCGAACGGGUGCGUAAUGUAUCGGAACGUGCCCAUUAGCGGGGGAUAACUAUGCCUAAGCGUAGCUAAUACCGAUUACUCAUGGAGCGGCCGAUAUCGGAUUAGCUAGUGGGUGGGGUAGAGGCUCACAAAGGCGACGAUCCGUAGCUGGUUCGAGAGGACGACCAGCCACACUGGGACUGAGACACGGCCCAGACUCCUACGGGAGGCAGCAGUGGGGAAUGUUGGACAAUGGGGGAAACCCUGAUCCAGCCAUGCCGCGUGAGCGAUGAAGGCCUUCGGGUUGUAAAGUACUUUUGGCAGGAAGGCGGUACCUGCAGAAUAAGCACCGGCUAACUACGUGCCAGCAGCCGCGGUAAUAC